UGCAGCGUCGUCGAGCAGCGUCGGCCCGCGUCCUGGGCGCCUGCGUCCUUUCCUCCUCCGCUCCGUGCACAGCUCCUUCUCUCUCUCUCUCCAAUGCUUCUCCUCUUCCUUCCUCUCGUCUCUCUCUCUUUCCCUCGCAACCCCUUUCUUCCUUCAUUCCUCCUCCUUCCCUCCCUUUCCUCGCGUCUCCGUUUCGCUUUUGCUCCGUUCCUCCAACCUCCUCCUCCCCCCUUCUCCCUCGCACGAGUGUGUGCGCAAAGCGCAUACCGGUAUGCGUGAAGCUUGGCCGGAUCGAGGGGAGGGAAGCUGCGAGAAGUUGGAGGGGGUAAACCCGCCAGCCCCUUUCCCGAUGUGGCUCUUGGCCAUCGAUUUUGUACGAGUUCGGGGCCGGAGCAACACCUGUUACCGCGUCGGAUGGGAAAGAGUGGAAGGGGGAGGGGAGGAGGAGGAGGACCGGGUAGGUGUAUUGGUAGGGUGGAUGGACGAGGAGGGGGGGGAUGAAUAGAAGGCGGAGGACGACGUUAUACGAGCUCGCGUGAGGGGGACGAGGAAGAGAAAGGAGUAUCCAUCGAACGGUGAGAAGGCAUUUUCCCUUCGCCUCGUGGCCACGUAAGUUUCACGGAGAGUCUUCGUUGCACCUCCAGCUUCUCGUCCCUCUUCGUCCACGUGGUUGUGCGCAGGAGGAGGAGGAGGAGGAGGGGGAGGGGGAUGGUUUGUAUGCGUACCUUAUAAUCUCGACGCUUAUUCUCGGACGUCAUCUAACCGCUCGUAUCGUCUGCGCCGCUCCUCCUUUUCAUCCCUUUUCAUUCCCUUUCUCGCUUCUCCUCUCUAUUUAUCCCUCGUGUUUCCCCUGGUUCAAGGGAUGCCUGGUUAAAGGGUAUGUACGAUUCUCUUCUUCUUCUUCUUUUUUUUUUUUUUCUUUUUUUUAUUUAUAUCCCUCCUCCUCUUCCUCCUCGGCGUGGAUUUAAUGAUUCCGAUGAGGAGGAGUUGAAACUUUCCCCUCGGCGUGGAGGGGAAGUUUUUGGCUCUAACUGUUGUCUGAAAGUUGGGAGCAGGGGGGAUACACCCCAGUGGAGGAAGAAAGUUUAAGACGAGUUUUGAUGGAUCGUUGUAUGUACUUUAUAUUGUAGACAGUAAAUGGACGAUGGAUUAAUCCGGUGCAAUUGGGGCGUAGGGAGAUCUAGCUUUAUCUUAUUAUUCGAUAAUUCAUUCUGUAUUUUAACGUAUUCAUUUUGGAAAGCUAUUGGAAAUUAGAAGAUACUACAUUAUUUUUAAUCUGUCCAAUAAAUUCAUUAUUGAUUAAUCAUUAAUUUUAAUCACAAUUAUUAAUCAUAAUAAUUGUUUCUAUUUUCGAAAAAUAUAAAAACAGAUAUUCGAAGGAACAGUAAAAUUUAACGUCGAUGAUAAUUUGAUCGAAUAAUUGUGAAAAAGUUGAUUGAUUGAUUUACACCUGAUAAUUUUCUUCCUCCUCGAAAAUUGAUUUAUUCGCGAAUCAAAAUUCAUUAAUUGAACGCAAUAUUCAUCUUGGAGACGAAGAUUAUCGGAUUAAUUAAAAUUCGUGAUACAAUUAUUCGAAUAAUCCUAAGUAAAUAUCUCAGAGAAUCUUUUCGAGGGAAAAUAUAUUUUUGAAGUUUUGACAUAACGUGUUUCGAUUGUGGAAACUCGAGCGUGGGUGGAAAAGAGUCAUCGUCGAAGAAUGGAGAAAGGACGCGAUUCAAUCCUUUUUCGAUGCGUUCUUCUUCGAUUCAGCUUCUAAAAGGAAAAAAAAAAAAAAAAAAGACGGGUUCCUCUCAUUUUCGCAAAAUGUUCUUAUUAAUAUUUAUCGGAGCCGAUUUCAAGCGCAGAGCUCCGACAACGAGACAAUUAAAACGCUGAACCGAAUUCAACGUAAGCCCCGAGGAUUAAAGGAAGUCUGAUUAGCGAAUCGUGUUACCGUUUGAUCUUCAAUUAAACGCAGAAUUCGCGAUUCCUGCUCAUCUCACGUCCCCGUGAAAAUGAACAGCCUUGGAAUUAAACUCUGUUUAUCCUCUUUUCCUUUCUUUUUCAAAUUUUUCGAUCAAUCACAUGUACGUGCAAAAAGUACAUGGAAAUAUUAUAUUUCAGAUAAUCGAUCUCGUUAUUAAUUUUCUUUAAUUUUUAAAAGUUACGUCCAUAAAUUUAAGAAAUUUAUCGAAAAACUAAAUUAACAUAAGAUAUUGUGGCUUACUGAUAAUAUAUUCGAAGGAAAGAUCCUUGCUUCUUAUUUUUCUUCUCUCAAAGACCAGUUGCUGGCGAAUAAGAUUUGCAUGCAAAGGGGUUUAUUACGCGAUACGUGGAAUAUUUUAUGGAAUAUUACGUCAAAUAACACGAUUGUUAAAACUUGUAUCCUUAGGUGGAAUGUAAACGUGGAAACGUUUUGCGAGAUAAUAUUGUUAGAGAGAGGAGGGGGGGAGAGGAUGUGUUUAUCACAUCCGCAUACCGUUGAAACUUGUAAACGCGUCAGCGUAUGGGAUACCGUAUGAGUGGAACUGACGUGGAAAACUUCAUUCUUUAUUUUAGUAUCCUUUAAUGGAAAGCUUUUACCGUAUACAUUGCACCCUUAAUUUAAUGCUUUUAAUAUUUCUCGUGUUACUUCUCCAGCCGCAACCUUCCACCACCGUGGAUUCCAACUCUUCUCCUACAAUUCUCAAAGAUACCAGAAUUUUUCUUUUCAGGAAAAAUUUUAUUAAAUUUCAUUUAAACUCGAUAUUAUGAAAAAAAUCUCGUCAAAUUUUUUCAUACCCUGUUAAUUCAACGAAGACGCAAACUUACCCAUCGAUCCAAGGACGCAAGACUUCCGGUUUACCGGCAAUCGUUGCUCUUCGAUCGCGUUAGAUGGCCGGGUAAUUGCGGGAUACAUUCUAUUUCAGAAUCUCUCCUCCACCAACUCCCACUUCGUUCGCUCGUUCUCGCCCUAUAAUUGCGCAUAUUCACCGGUUGCUCGGCAACCUUCGUGCCGCGUCGGCUCGACCGGCAUCCAGGGACCGCCGAGCCUCUCCUCCGGGCCCGGAAGCCGGAGGAUUCGAUUCGCGAGUUGGACCUGUAUUAAUCGGAGCCAACGUGUUUUGCUUCGAUGUCCUGGGAUACCUGCGUCGAGAAUUUGUUAUUAUUUGUUCUUCUUCGAAUUGCUUUUGUACUUUUUUUAUAGAAAAUUGGGGAAGGACGCACGUUUGGUGAUCGAUUAAAGCGGCCCGACUGAUUCACUGGCUUACGAGCUGAUCACGAGCAGAAGCGGCGCGGCCAGGUCUUCAUAAAUCAAAGGAUUAGCCGGGGAUUACUUGGGAGAAUGAAAUACGCCGGUGGCGGAGUCACGAUCGUGAAUUCUGGAUCGUUUGUUGAAACGGAGUUAUCCGCCAAUCGUGAAAUCUCUUAUAUCCGUUUUCUUUCAAACUGAAGGAGAGAGAGAGAGAGAGAAAGAGAGUAAAAUUGGUUAUGUAAGUAAGAGAAAAAUAAUUCUUCGUUUUAAACGGCGGGUGAGAAAUGCAUCGAGAAUGGACCUGUUUGGGAAUCGGUGCACGUCCCUGUGCACCUUCACGUGGAUAUCUCCUCUACGUGAUUUAAUCUGCAUCGGCAAAAGUACGAUGGAGUAUACGGUGGUGGACAAAAGGAUGAAUAAAUUAUGACUGUUUUCACGGGGGGAGAAUUAGUCCAUUCGCUUGGAAUCUUUAAAAUUUUACUUUUUAUAUCGGAAGAUCGAUAGUUGUUUGCCGAGAUUUAAUGAAUUUCUGUAAUUGAGAUAUUAUUAACGAAUAUUUUCUUGCUUAUACGCGUCUUUACACGCUGAUUUCGGAUUGAUUGAAUAGAAUUUUCAGUGUAAAAAGCGAAGUGGAAUACGUGAAUUACGAGCGAGCUCGUAAGUAAGCUGUUAGGUUUGUGGAGAAAUGGCGGAUUCCGAGGUGGAGUACUCGUGGGAAAGUGCGGACGGGGUUUAAGUGGAAUAUGUAUAAUCAUGCUCAGACACGGCGGAUGAACAGUGGAAUAAGUGUUUUAGAGCUUGGUGAAAUUCUUUCCUUGUUUCGUGCACAUAUCAAUGCUAAUUAUAAAAUAACAAGCUUUUAAUCAAUUGUUACCAAUUAAUUAAAAUAAAAUGUCUCACAAAA
rnacentral:lncRNA from 1 species